rnacentral:rRNA from 1 species
UACGUAGGUGGCAAGCGAUACUCGGAAUCACUAGGCGUAAAGCGCAGGUAGGCGGUUUGGUAAGUCUUUUGUGAAAGCUCCCGGCUUAACUGGGAGAGGUCAAGGGAAACUACCGGACUAGAGUGUGGUAGGGGAUACUGGAAUUCCUGGUGUAGCGGUGAAAUGCGCAGAUAUCGGGAGGAACACCAAUGGCGAAGGCAGCUCGCUGGGACGGUACUGACGCUGAGACGCGAAAGCGUGGGGAGCAAACAGG